UACGUAGGGUGCGAGCGUUAAUCGGAAUUACUGGGCGUAAAGUGUGCGCAGGCGGCCGAGCAAGUCGAGUGUGAAAGCCCCGAGCUUAACUUGGGAACUGCGCUCGAAACUACUUGGCUAGAGUGUGGCAGAGGGAGGUGGAAUUCCACGUGUAGCGGUGAAAUGCGUAGAUAUCUGGAGGAACACCGGUGGCGAAGGCGGCAUCCUGGACCGAUACUGACGCUGAGGAGCGAAAGCCAGGGGAGCAAACGGG
rnacentral:rRNA from 1 species